rnacentral:rRNA from 1 species
UACGUAGGGGGCAAGCGUUGUCCGGAAUCAUUGGGCGUAAAGAGCGUGUAGGCGGCCCGGUAAGUCCGCUGUGAAAGUCCAGGGCUCAACCCUGGAAUGCCGGUGGAAACUGUCGGGCUAGAGUCCGGAAGAGGCGAGUGGAAUUCCUGGUGUAGCGGUGAAAUGCGCAGAUAUCUGCAGGAACACCCGUGGCGAAGGCGGCUGACUGGAUCGCAACUGACACUGAGGAACGAAAGCUAGGGGAGCAAACAGG